UACGUAGGGCGCAAGCGUUGUCCGGAAUUACUGGGCGUAAAGGGCUCGUAGGCGGCCAACUAAGUCAGACGUGAAAUCCCUCGGCUUAACCGGGGAACUGCGUCUGAUACUGGAUGGCUUGAGGUUGGGAGAGGGAUGCGGAAUUCCAGGUGUAGCGGUGAAAUGCGUAGAUAUCAGGAGGAACACCGGUGGCGAAGGCGGGUCUCUGGGCAGUAACUGACGCUGAGGAGCGAAAGCGUGGGGAGCGAACAGG
rnacentral:rRNA from 1 species